CCUACGGGAGGCAGCAGUGGGGAAUAUUGCACAAUGGGGGCGACCCUGAUGCAGCGACGCCGCGUGAGUGAAGAAGGCUUUCGGUAUGUAAAACUCUAUCAACAGAGAAAAAAAUGACGGUACCUGAUUCAGAAGCCCCGGAUAACUACGUGCCAGCAGCCGCGGUAAUACGUAGGGGGCAAGCGUUAUCCGGAUUUACUGGGUGUAAAGGGGACGUAGACGGCAGCAUAAGUCUGUAGUGAAAUGCCGGGGCUUAACCCUGGAACUGCUGUUGAAACUGUGCAGCUAGAGUGCAGGCGAGGUAAGUGGAAUUCGUAGUGUAGCGGUGAAAUGCGUAGAUAUUAGGAGGAACACCAGUGGCGAAGGCGGCUUACUGGACUGCAACUGACGUUGAGGCUCGAAAGCGUGGGGAGCAAACAGGAUUAGAUACCCUUGUAGUC
rnacentral:rRNA from 1 species